UACGUAGGGGGCUAGCGUUGUCCGGAAUCAUUGGGCGUAAAGAGCGUGUAGGCGGCCAGGUAGGUCUGCUGUGAAAACUCGAGGCUCAACCUCGAGCUGUCGGCGGAAACCAUCUGGCUAGAGUCCGGAAGAGGAGAGUGGAAUUCCUGGUGUAGCGGUGAAAUGCGCAGAUAUCAGGAAGAACACCUAUGGCGAAGGCAGCUCUCUGGGACGGUACUGACGCUGAGACGCGAAAGCGUGGGGAGCGAACAGG
rnacentral:rRNA from 1 species